AGAGGCAGGUGGAUCUCUGUGAGUUCGAGGCCAGCCUGGUCUACAGAGUGAGUUCCAGGACAGCCUCCAAAGCCACAGAGAAACCCUGUCUCGAG
ensembl:miRNA